GUCGCUACGGCAGCACAUAUACUAAAAUUGAAUCGAUACAGAGAAGAUUAGCAUGGCCCCUGUGAAAGGAUGAUACGCAAAUCCAUGAAGCGCUCCAUAUUUUU
ensembl:snRNA U6 U6 spliceosomal RNA